rnacentral:rRNA from 1 species
GAUUGCAGGCUGCAACUCGCCUGCAUGAAGCUGGAAUCGCUAGUAAUCGCGGAUCAGCAUGCCGCGGUGAAUACGUUCCCGGGCCUUGUACACACCGCCCGUCACACCACGAGAGUUUGUAACACCCGAAGUCGGUGAGGUAACCUUUUGGAGCCAGCCGCCUAAGGUGGGACAGAUGAUUGGGGUGAAGUCGUAACAAGGUAGCCGUAUCGGAAGGUGCGGCUGGAUCACCUCCUUUCUAAGGA